UUCACCACACUCGCAAAAUAGAGAGCCUUUCGAUGGUCCGACUUUUACUCACUAAACUAACUUGCUAAACUUGCUGGAAUUAUUUUGUCUUACUUCACUUAUAAACAGAGGCAACAAUAAUGUGUUCGGAAGCUCCAGGCUUACUCAAAAGGAAAUUCAACACACGCUUCCCGCCUUCCCUUUUAUUUACUCUUUCUUCAAGUUGAACUUUCCUACACGAUUGCUUACGCACUGGAAGAGGGCUCGUUGUUUAUCAUCCAAAAAGUUGACUUUGCCUAGAUAAUCAUCUACAGAAAUAACAAAGAUUGGAUGCUAGAGGAAUCGUGUGGAAUUAACAGUGAGUUUUUUUCUCAGAGAGCAGCUCUACCAAACAGCAUAUAUUUUUUUUGUUUUUCGGUCCAAUUCGUGGGGCAAUUUGUUUAGAGCAUAUGAAAUAAUAUUUAUUAAGAUGAAAAAAGUAAAAAAAAGAAUGCUACGAAUGCAGACUUGUUAAAGCUGAAAGUAAUCUCUGAUUUUAAUCUUGGCUAUACUAGGCAAAGGGCGUGGCAGUAUUCUUACCUGCUUACUCAAAGGGAAUGAACUGUCAUAUGGUUGAAGCUGUAUUAACCAUAUAACAGUUUACUUCUUUUUAUCACAGGAAUCUUGUAUUCCAGACUCUACAAAGCUAUAGAUUUUUAUCUUAAAUAAAAAGAUGAAAAUAGAUACAAAAUUAGAUCCAGACCGUAAAAAGCAUUGCUUUCUUAAAAAGCAAUCACAAACUAAAAUAAAUAUGUAAAAAUAUUAGCUAGCAAAAGGGCCGGAGUAUUGUUGGCGCCGGUGCCCUUGGGAGGGGGGUGGAUUUUUUUUUAUUAGGCGAAGCCUGUCAUAUAAGUUUUGGUUAAGACCUUUUUUUAUCACGAACAAAUGGUUCGUUAGUUUGAUAUUUUGGUAGUCUAGGCAUUACUGGUCUGCGUGGGAGGAUUCAGUCACCUGGAGGUAUGCUUCCCCCUCUCCCCCUUUUGCUGAUAACUUUAUCAUUUGAUGCAUUGGCCAUAUAAUGAUUACAUUCAAUAAGGUAAAACUUUCAAAACAUUACUAACUUGCAGUUUUCCACAUUGAUCAUUGUUGGUGACUGCAUCAUAUAAUACCAGAGAUUUAUUGAUUAAUAAGGAAAACAGUCAAAACCAUUGUUGAUGAAAUGUGAAAGAGUUUAAUGAAAAGAAAUACUAUCACACUAAAAA